rnacentral:rRNA from 1 species
UGGGGAAUAUUGGACAAUGGGCGAAAGCCUGAUCCAGCAAUGCCGCGUGAGUGAUGAAGGCCUUAGGGUUGUAAAGCUCUUUUACCCGGGAAGAUAAUGACUGUACCGGGAGAAUAAGCCCCGGCUAACUCCGUGCCAGCAGCCGCGGUAAUACGGAGGGGGCUAGCGUUGUUCGGAAUUACUGGGCGUAAAGCGCACGUAGGCGGCUUGGUAAGUUAGAGGUGAAAGCCCGGAGCUCAACUCCGGAAUUGCCUUUAAGACUGCCGAGCUAGCAGGUGAGAGAGGUAAGUGGAAUUCCGAGUGUAGAGGUGAAAUUCGUAGAUAUUCGGAAGAACACCAGUGGCGAAGGCGGCUUACUGGCUCAUACUGGACGCUGAGGUGCGAAAGCGUGGGGAGCAAACA